rnacentral:rRNA from 1 species
UGACCUCAAAUCAGGUAGGACUACCCGCUGAACUUAAGCAUAUCAAUAAGCGGAGGAAAAGAAACUAACAAGGAUUCCCCUAGUAACUGCGAGUGAAGCGGGAAAAGCUCAAAUUUAAAAUCUGGCAGUCUUUUGGCUGUCCGAGUUGUAAUCUAGAGAAGUGUUAUCCGCGCUGGACCAUGUACAAGUCUCCUGGAAUGGAGCAUCAUAGAGGGUGAGAAUCCCGUCUUUGACAUGGACUUCCAGGGCUUUGUGAUGCGCUCUCAAAGAGUCGAGUUGUUUGGGAAUGCAGCUCAAAAUGGGUGGUAAAUUCCAUCUAAAGCUAAAUAUUGGCGAGAGACCGAUAGCGAACAAGUACCGUGAGGGAAAGAUGAAAAGAACUUUGGAAAGAGAGUUAAACAGUACGUGAAAUUGCUGAAAGGGAAACGCUUGAAGUCAGUCGCGUCGUCCAGGGAUCAACCUUGCUUUUGCUUGGUGCACUUCCUGGUUUGAUGGGUCAGCAUCAAUUUUGACUAUUGGAAAAAGGUUAAGGGAAUGUGGCAUCUUUGGAUGUGUUUAUAGCCCUUGGUCACAUACAAUGGUUGGGAUUGAGGAACUCAGCACGCCGCAAGGCCGGGUUUAAACCACGUACGUGCUUAGGA